rnacentral:rRNA from 1 species
GACGAAUGCUGGCUGCGUGCUUAACACAUGCAAGUCGAACGGUGAAGGAGGGCUUGCCCUCCGGAUCAGUGGCAAACGGGUGAGUAACACGUGGGCAACCUGCCCCUCACUCUGGGAUAACGCCGGGAAACCGGCGCUAAUACCGGAUACGACCAGGCGCGACAUCUCGCCUGGUGGAAAGAAUUUCGGUGAGGGAUGGGCCCGCGGCCUAUCAGCUAGUUGGUGGGGUAACGGCCCACCAAGGCGACGACGGGUAGCCGGCCUGAGAGGGCGACCGGCCACACUGGACUGAGACACGGCCCAGACUCCUACGGGAGGCAGCAGUGGGGAAUAUUGCGCAAUGGGCGAAAGCCUGACGCAGCGACGCAGCGUGAGGGACGAAGGCCUUCGGGUUGUAAACCUCUUUCAGCGGGGACGAAGCGAAAGUGACGGUACCCGCAGAAGAAGCACCGGCUAACUACGUGCCAGCAGCCGCAGUAACAC